rnacentral:tRNA from 1 species
GCCGAAGUGGCGGAGCUGGUAGACGCGGCGGACUCGAAAUCCGCUGGGGGUAACCCUGUGGGGGUUCGACUCCCCCCUUCGGCA